rnacentral:rRNA from 1 species
UCGGGAAUUUUGCACAAUGGCCGAAAGGCUGAUGCAGCAACGCCGCGUGAGCGAAGAAGGCCUUCGGGUUGUAAAGCUCUGUUGCCUGCGAAGAAGGGCCCUGUCAGGAAAUGGGCGGGGUUGGACGGUAGCAGGCGAGGAAGCCCCGGCAAACUACGUGCCAGCAGCCGCGGUAAUACGUAGGGGGCGAGCGUUGUCCGGAAUUACUGGGCGUAAAGGGCGUGUAGGCGGCCUGUUAAGUCAGGGGUGAAAGACCGGGGCUCAACCCCGGGGCUGCCUCUGAAACUGGCGGGCUUGAGUGCUCUAGAGGGCAGUGGAAUUCCCGGUGUAGCAGUGAAAUGCGUAGAGAUCGGGAGGAACACCAGUGGCGAAGGCGGCUGCCUGGGGAGUCACUGACGCUGAGGCGCGAAUGCUAGGGGAGCAAACAGGAUUAGAUACCCUGGUAGUCCUAGCCGUAAACGAUGAGCGCUAUGUGUGAGGGGUAUCGACCCCCCUCGUGCAGUAGCUAACGCAUUAAGCGCUCCGCCUGGGGAGUACGG